CCUACGGGUGGCUGCAGUCGAGGAUCUUCGGCAAUGGACGCAAGUCUGACCGAGCGACGCCGCGUGCGGGAUGAAGGCCUUCGGGUUGUAAACCGCUGUCGGAGGGGAAGAAAUUUUGACUAACCCCUCGGAGGAAGCCCGGGCUAAGUUCGUGCCAGCAGCCGCGGUAACACGAACCGGGCAAACGUUAUUCGGAAUUACUGGGCUUAAAGGGUGCGUAGGCGGCGCUGUAAGUCGGGUGUGAAAUCCCUCGGCCUAACCGAGGAAUUGCGCCCGAUACUGCAGUGCUCGAGGAAGAUAGAGGUGGGCGGAACUAGCAGUGGAGCGGUGAAAUGCGUUGAUAUUGCUGGGAACACCCGUGGCGAAAGCGGCCCACUGGGUCUUUUCUGACGCUGAUGCACGAAAGCUAGGGUAGCGAACGGGAUUAGAUACCCUAGUAG
rnacentral:rRNA from 1 species